rnacentral:rRNA from 1 species
GGCAACAGCUCAAAUUUGAAAUCUGGCCCUCGGGUCCGAGUUGUAAUUUGUAGAGGAUGCUUUUGGCGAGGUGCCUUCCGAGUUCCCUGGAACGGGACGCCAUAGAGGGUGAGAGCCCCGUCUGGUCGGACACCGAGCCUCUGUAAAGCUCCUUCAACGAGUCGAGUAGUUUGGGAAUGCUGCUCAAAAUGGGAGGUAUAUGUCUUCUAAAGCUAAAUAUUGGCCAGAGACCGAUAGCGCACAAGUAGAGUGAUCGAAAGAUGAAAAGCACUUUGAAAAGAGGGUUAAAAAGUACGUGAAAUUGUUGAAAGGGAAGCGCUUAUGACCAGACUUGCGCCCGGUGAAUCAUCCAGCGUUCUCGCUGGUGCACUUUGCCGGGCACAGGCCAGCAUCAGUUUGGCGCGGGGGAAAAAGGCUUCGGGAAUGUGGCUCCCUCGGGAGUGUUAUAGCCCGCUGCGUAAUACCCUGCGCCGGACUGAGGUACGCGCAUUGCAAGGAUGCUGGCGUAAUGGUCAUCAGCGACCCGUCUUGAAACACGGACCAAGGAGUCGUCUUCGUAUGCGAGUGUUCGGGUGUCAAACCCCUACGCGUAAUGAAAGUGAACGCAGGUGAGAGCUUCGGCGCAUCAUCGACCGAUCCUGAUGUUCUCGGAUGGAUUUGAGUAAGAGCAUACGGGGCCGGACCCGAAAGAAGGUGAACUAUGCCUGUAUAGGGUGAAGCCAGAGGAAACUCUGGUGGAGGCUCGCAGCGGUUCUGACGUGCGAAUCGAUCGUCAAAUAUGGGCAUGGGGGCGAAAGACUAAUCG